rnacentral:lncRNA from 1 species
GACCAUUGACAAGGAAUAAAGCAAGGAAGUACGGCGUUACUCUUGGAUUGCAUAUUCAAGAAUUUAUUACAAGAGAGAUGACUGAAAUUGCUAGGGAUAAGUGCGAGAAGGAACUUGAAGGUCAUUCGAAGCUGAUUACGUUGCUGGGUGUAUGCAUGGAUGAAGCAGAAGCAACUUGAAGAUUUGUAGCGCUCGCUACCAUUAUCAAAGUCGCGCUCGCGACAUUCAGUUAGCCGAAGAUACUUUUGUGUUUUGUGGAAGUUAAUUUUGGAGCACAUCAUGGAGGAAGAUAGUGGAGAAUCAGCCCGAACCAUAAGCAGGUUGUGGUUUCGUCCCUGAGGUUGUGGUUUCUGCUGGAACUAUUGAGGCAUACGAGAAUGUGGUUGGUUUUUAAAGACUUGGCAGUUAUUUUUGUUAUUUUAGCUUGUUUCCCUGUUGGGAUAGGAAUUCUGACUUAGUAUUUGUUUUCCUUUUCCAACUAGGUUUAGGUUUUUGCCUUACACUAUAAAUAAGGCCUUAAAUUCUUAUAUCAGACACUUUAUUUUUGUUUUGACAAAUUUAAUUCAGAUUUGCUUUAUGCAAAUUUCGGCCUUCUUUGAGAGAGUGAGAGUUUGCCUCUUUCAUUGAUUACAUCACGAAUCAGACCAACUUAUCAAUUUCGAUUGUGGCGUUCUUCUGAUCCGUUCUACAAAAUCCUUCCGUUAUUAGUGUUCUAGCUUCGCUAAGCUUAGGGUGCUAUAGAGGGUGGUUUAUCCACGUUCUUGGAAUCUAUAUCAGGGGUGCGACGGGGUUUGAGGACUAAGUGCCAUAGGGUUCCGCGUCA